CACAGCAUGUAUCUCAGAGGCAAAGAGGUGCCGGAGCAUGGGAAGUGUCAAGGCUAAUGUCGCGGCUAAGCCUGGCCCAUCUCGUGUCAAGAGGUUUGGAUUAGUCACACGGAUCACUGUGAGCCUACAGGGGACAAUCUGGGCAGUUACAAAACAGUGGGAGUUCCUGGGCCACUGUUGCCACCCAGACAACUGCUGUGGAGCAUCAGGCCACCCGAUGAGCACCUCAGCAUGAUGAACACACCUGAUGGCGUUCCCUGCGGCUGUGUUCUCUCGGGAGCCUGGCAGACGGCUGGAACGUUGGUUUUGGGCAACGCUCCAAGAACAACAUAGAAGUCAACGGAAACCAAGUUUGAAAGUGAAGCUCAUAAAAUCACCAAUCACACUUUUAUGUUUGCUAACAGUCUGCUGCCACUGAGGAGGAGCCCCUUUUAAUGAGGCUGUGCUCAGCUAUUCCUAAUGGAAGGAUCAGUAAUAGAAAACUGCUGUGCAUUGGUUUCACAUUUUUGAAUAAUAGCCAAACCGGUAAAGCAUAAAAAGGAUGUUGCAAUACAGCAUGAAAUUCAAGACCCGAGUGUUCCAAACCCAAUGCCUGGUCCUCCUCCAAAGAACUGGAAUCCUCUCCAACAUGGAUCAACAGCUAGCUUCAUGGGACACUCCCAGUUCCUCUACCACCCCCUAAUCUUCCUGAGAAACCAAGGUGUUUGUGUCUCUCGCGUCAUUGCCUCAUCCUCUAAACCUGACCACUUUGACAUCAAAGCGGAGGUGUGUUGUUCCCUCUCUCCACGCUGUCAUGGGAGAAUGACCCUGCGAAAGCCUGGUGCAGCCUCAGGACGAUGUGGAGCCACCUGAGAGGAGGACUCAGUGCAUUCCUCUGUGUCUCAGCACUGUAAAAUAUGAGUGGCCUGAUGUUCGGACAAUCACAUCUGAGAGAAAACUUGUUUGACCAUCACGUCUCAACUAUGGACCUCAACAGGUGUGUGUCUGUCACACAGGAGGAACCCGCUGGUGGCAUUAGGUCAUUAAAAUUAGUAGUUUUUUUAUUAGGGCUGGGUACCCAAAUUCACUACUUCUUAUGCACCGACCAAAUUGCCUCUAAAGUAUUGAGAAUCGCAAAAUGCCUCACCAUUCAAUACCCAAUUUCAACACCUAAGGGGUAAAUCUAAUCAGUGUCAACAAGCCAAUAAGCAUGCAGCAUGCUUCUAACCAAGAUCUAGUAAUGCUGGUGAUUGGCUGUCUAACGUUACACGGCGUAGAGGCAUUCAGGAAAAACUGUUACGCAUUGGGACUGGGCUCACGUAGUUGGAGAUACAAAAUAGAUAAAAAGAUUUGUGUGGUAAUGUGUAAUGUUGUUAUUUUGUCUGUUUUAUACAAUUGGUAUUGAUAAAAGUAUUGUUUAGGCACCAUUAUCAAAGUCACGGUAUUGGUACCGGUAUUGAACAUUUUUGAACAAUACCCAGCCCGAGUUGUAAUGUCACUCACAAUAAUAAACCUUCAACCCUAAUGUAUAUGUCAGGACAGUUACUAAAAGUACUGUUUUUAAGUGUAAGUGUGUCUGCCCUCUGCUCUGUCCGGUUGCAUGCCUGAACCAACACUUUAAGUAAUAAAGUAGGAGCUCCUUUGAUCUGAUGUCCCACCCAGAGGCUUCUCCCUCCAAGCAGACAAUACUCCAAUUCAUUACUGGACCUGCCUCUUCAAAGCUCAGCCACUCUUCAGCGGGAAACUCUAAACUUAGGCCCCAGACGGGCUCUUUUUAAACACGCCCCCUGGGCACUGAGGUGGCGGCUGGAUGAGUCCACAUAAGUCACGGUAACCUGCACAUAUCCACUCCUUAACCCCUGCAGCACCACACCUACCCCCCUCGGGUGACAGGUGGAUUAUUGGGCAUUGGUAUUUGUGCAUUCUGCCCGGUUUCAAACACGCCUGUUGACUAUGGGAAAAUGUCACAUAUUAACUGCUGAGUUUCUUUGCAGCAGAAGUUAUUUUUGUGUGUUACUGUCAAAUGUCAGACUUUGCCCCAAUUUUAACGGAGGUCACAUUAUUAAAGACAUUAACUUUAAGAGAUAACUUGCAGAUAAAUAUCAAAGUAAUUUCUGAGCAUCCCUUGCCCUUUUUUUUAUCAUGUUAAUCAAAGUGUCACUUUACACUGGGAUGUGUUUGUUGUUGCAGUGUAAUCCCUUGUUGUGACCUAAAAUGGGUUGAAUGGCUGGUUGGGCACUCAGGAGAUCAUUGAACCACUUGACUCACACAGAAGUAGUUUGACUUGUUUAGGAUAGAGGAUGAUCCGUAACAAAAUUAGUUUUCCCACGAUUUGUGUGUUUGGUAUUGUGAUGGAGAUUCAGAAUGUGGGUGUUAUUAUGAAGCCCAAUAAGACUGCAAGGCCUUCACAAAUAAACACAG